rnacentral:sRNA from 1 species
AUGUGUACUGUGUCUAACGUCUGGACCCAAUACACAUGGAUUCAAUGAUUACCAAACAAGGGCUCAAUGAUAUCACGAAUAUGCUAUCUGACCUAAACUGGAAGUCACUGGAAAGUUGGCAUAGACAGCUCAGGCUGCCUGAGCAAUACUAGGCCGAGUUAGAAUGCGGUAUACCAAACUUUACUCGAUUUAAUCGGGGCACUUGUGCACGCAGACAUCUGGGUCACAUUCAGGAUAUCCCGCAUGGCCCUGAUGAAACAGCACAGCAAAGUUUGGUGUACCUAACACGUCCUCGGGUUAGCCCUACUUGUAGAUAUCGGAGAAUGAAACGAAUGCGCCUAAUGAGUAACCUGUCACCAUACAAAUGUACCACCAAACUGACAUCUUGUAAAUAACACUUUUAAAACUUUAUGGAGACUGGAAGCAAUUACAAACUCUCAGUUUUAGCAGAGCUCAUUAUGAUAUUGAAGAUCCCAGCUCUUACAGGGAAGUAGACCCUUCCAGGCUGAGCCAAUAGAGCACCCCCAACGA